CAGAACAAUCAGGACAAUCAGACAGUUCAAACCAGCAAGGCGAUACAGACAUCAAACCCCCAGCAAAUGGCCACUUGAGUUUCCACGACUGCUUUGUGACUUCAGGGGUGUGGAACGUGGCUGAGCUGGUCCGCGUGUCACAGACUCCAGUGGCCACAGCGACAGGCCCAAACUUCUCUCUGGCAGACCUGGACAGCCCAGGCUAUUACAACAUCAACCAGGUCACCCUGGGACGUCGUUCCAUCACCUCCACCCCCUCCACCAGGUACA